UGUGUGUGUGUUUGUGCGUGUGUGUUUGUGUGUGUGUUUGUGUGUGUUUGUGUGUGUGUGUUUGUGUGUGUUUGUGUGUGUGUGUGUGUGUGUGUGUAGUGGAUGAUGAACUGGAGAAACUGGGGCUAGGUUUGAACUGUGAUGAGAGGAUAGUGUGAGGUCACUCCUGAGCUACCUCCAAGGACAAAUCCCUCCCCAUGAUGACACCUGCGUGGAACAAGGGACCCUGUCCUUCCUUCCACUCCCAGAGGGAAGGGCUAGCUCCGAGUCCUGAGGACUGAACUCAAACACUAUUUUUGCCUGAUUUGCUUUGUAGAAAAAUCUCAACCCCUGUACCUGCCAUUUCCUGGCUGUGUGUCCUGGAGCCAGUCACUGGCCCUUUCUGAAUUCUAAUCCCCCACCCCAUUGUAAAACUGAAGCCUGUGGUAGGAUUGGGAAUCUUCUGUAAACCAUGAAGUAUUUGAUAAAUAGAAGGCUCGGGCCCAAGGAUUGGAUUUAUUUGUAAAGCAGAUUGAGGAAGAGAAGUCCCAGCUGGUAGCAGGUGUGUCUCAUUCUUUAAAAAAGGGCAGAGGAAAAAAAAAAACAAAGAACCCGGGCAGCCAUUGUGCAGAGCCUGGAGCUCCUUCCUGCUUUACCAGCCUCCCUGGGAACCGCCCAGGGCAGGAGGCCUGGGCAGCCCGUGGGGUUGCAUUCCAGGCGGGCUCCCCGUGGUCAGCAAGGCCAUGCUGCUGACCGGUGGCCUGGAAUUUGGACUCUUAACAAAAUCCCGGCUACAAAAGGAGAACAGGUUGGACCGAAGCCACUGGGCGAGCGAAGGAACCUCCUGGAAAACGGCUGGGACGUUUGUUGAACAGACUCCAGGCCCGGCCUGCCCACCAGAGCCCAGCCCAAGGACAGAAGCAGCCGACCCUGCGGUGGAGCUGAUUGGAGAGUCCCAGGUGUGAGUCCGCCCAGGGGACAGCGCCUCCCACAGCUGGGUCACUUUCUAGUUCCAGCCCCAGUCAGGUCUCCGCAGCCAGUGCCUUCAGCCAUUGGCCCUGUGGAGGGCUUGGCAUUUAUCCAGCACCUGCUGUUGGGCAGGAUUAGUGCCCUUUCACAGGGACACCAUCAGCAGUGUGCAUCCUGGAAGAGGGCCCUUGCUAGGGCCUGAGCGGGCUGGCACCCUGACCUCAGGCUUCCUGAUCUGCAACCGACAUCUGUUAUAAACCACUUGGCCUAUUGUUAGGGGAGCCAACGCUGACUCGGGUACCUUGUAGCAACCCAAGGAUCAAACAGACCCCGCUAUAGAGGAACGAGCUAAGAAGACACAGCCCAGUUAGGUAACUCGCUGGAGGUCACACAGCUAGUUAGUACAAGUGCUAGAACUGCAGCCAACGAGCCUGGCCCCAGAGCCCACGGGGCUGGCCACUGUCCUCUGGUUCUCCUUCACUUCAACGCUUCUCUGGGAGCUGGGUUUAUGAGCACCUCCAGCCCCGGUUCCACUCUGCUGCCGGUGUCUUUUAAACAAUGUAAUCAGGUCAGGCUCCUUCACAGAGCCUCUGAAGCACUCUCCCAUCAAGCUCAGAAUCAAGCUCAGGCAGGAUUUGGCCAGCCACGGGAUUCAUUCCGCCUCCCGCAAGAGCUCAGCUACACACACACACACACACACACACACACACACCCUUGUAGAAAGACCACUUGCGGUUUCCAAAAAGCUGUCAGCUGUCUAGGGCAGCAGCACUAUCCAUAGAUAGAAUGCAAGCCACAUAUGGAAUUCAGAAUUUUCUAGAAGCCACAUUAAGAGAGUAAAUUAACUUCAGUAGCAUAUCCGGUAUAUUUACAAUGUUGACAUUUCAACAUGCAUCCAUCUAAAUCCUGGUGGACGUGGUUUUAAUUUUGUUUGAAGUCUCAGCGAUCGGGUGUGUUUUACACCAUUACAUUUGGCUCAGACUCCCAGGGACUCGCCACUGAGGCUGGGCGGGGCUCUGGGGGCAGGAGGAGGAGAGAUGGACAAGGGGUAGGAAACACAUCAGCAUCGGCACCGUCAUUGCUGACACCUGCUGCUCCCAGCCCCCUGCCACCGGCGUCAGUUUUACAAGCAUUUCCUUGUCUCAUUCUCAAAAUGAUCCCCGGAAAGAUUGUUCUCUUGUGGGGCCGCCUUGGAGAAAAGGAAGAGAUCUCAAAAAAUCCUCAGGUUCAGAGGGAGGAGGCUGGGAAUGGAGGCUCCUUUUCUAUUUCACACACCACCCAGCAUCCAGCAUCAGCCAGAUGGAGCUCCUCUGGGUCCUGGGGUGAGUGAGGGAGACCUUGUCAGGGGCACAGCCUUUUGUCAUCGGGCUGUCAAGUCGUCUCCUGCCUUCCCACCUCCGUGGCUUCCUCCCUCCUUCCCAGAAUUCCCUGGGAAUUCCAAGUUCUUUGGCCUCUGUGAUGCAAGUAGUUGGCCCCCCAUGGUUUGGAUGGAGAUAGAGUGUGCCCAACUUGGUCCCCCGGAGUGAUGAUGUUAGAGAUGGCGGGAGCUUUAAGACGCGGGUUCUACCGGGAGGAUUUCAAGUCAUGGCAGGGCGUGCCCUCUGAAGGACCUCAAGUAGCUCUUCUGGAACCCUGGAACCCCCUGAGAGUGAGUUUUGAAAGAGCCCCUUCCAGCUCUCUGUCAUCCUUGUCUGAAUGUCAGAUCCCCCUCUUUAAUGUGCUUCUGUCACGAUGCAAGUCUCCAUGCUGUGUCACAGCCACGGGGGACAUCACCAGAGCCGGCAUCGUGCCAUUUGGACUUUGGUCCUUCCAAACUGGACAAUGGAAUUUGAAGAGGUCCAAGUUCACAAAAGCAGAGAGGUCAGGAGCUGCCACUUGCCCAUCCACUCUUAGAAGGGCAGCGACGGGGUCAAGAGUUACUUCCUUGACAAAUGGGGACGCCCAUGAGAGGGAAGCCGGGGGACUGGGAGCAUCUCAGGAGCUGGACACCAGUUAUCUCGGUGCUGGGGGGAGGAGCGGAGCUGAAGACAGUAUCGAUGUCAGCACCAGCACCCGCAGCGUCACCUCCACUGCCAUCAGUGCCACCGUCACCUCCACGGCCGUCCCUGGCACACUGCCACCAUCACCACCACCAAGAUCAUCACCACCAUCACCUCCACCACUGUCUCCAACACACUGCCACCAUCACCACCAUCACCUCCACCACCCACCCCACCAUCAUCACCCAGCCAGGGAAUCCAGGCGAACAUCUCUCCUAUCACACUGGAUUCUUUUCUUUGGAAAGACGGAUUAGGCAAUCAUCAGGAUGGGGCAGGAGACUUUAUUUUGCAGGAAUAUUAAAUGAAAAGUUCACGUUGGACAGUGAGAGCCACGUUGUCUCCUCCCAGAGGCAGGAGGCUGGCGUGCUCCUUCCAAGGAAGCUGAGGAGCCGAGGGCAGACCCAUCCCCCGGGCUCCGCGGGCAGAGCCGCUCUCAGGUCAGCAAGCCCCCUCUCAAAGGCUUCCACCAGCUUCCCAGUUUAAACAGGAACCAGGCAAAGUCUCUAGGCAACCACAUGAGCCUCAGGAACAACAACAAAAAAAAUAGAUAAAAAGGAUCCCAAAGGUGAUGGAGAUGGUGGUGGGGACAGAAGGAAUCUGCCAAGAACAAGAAGAACAAUCCUGUGUUCAGAAGGAGAGAGCGAAUAUUGCUUUCUGAGAACAAAAGGGUACAAAACAAAAGAUCAGAGAAUAAGCAAGAGCUCUUGUCAAGAAAUAGAAUAAGACAAGUGAGUCUGAAGUCCUUUCCCUCCCAUCAAGGGAGGGAUGUUGGAAAACUGAGCAACACAGCUGGCAGCGGAGGACCUCCUGCCCAUCAGUACGUGGACAAGAUAGCUGGAAACUGGUGGACCUGACUAGACAGUUAGGGCCUGGUUUUUGUUGUACAUUUGAUCUCCACGGAAAUCCUGCUGUACAUGAGCCAUUACCCCCUUGUAUACAUAGAAUCUUACAAAGGCACCUUCUUAGGUAGUGCCACAAGAAAGAGUCCUAUAGGUCAGAGGCGGUGGACACUGGAUAGUGUCCAGGGGGCUCCAUCUGACAUGUGGCCCAAGCUCGCACUGCAGUUCUUGUGUCCAAAAUUAUGAAAACUUCAAAGAUAAAGUCAUCAUGUGGGGCCUUAAA